AUUGAACGCUGGCGGCAGGCCUAACACAUGCAAGUCGAGCGAGCGGAGGACGGGUGAGUAAUGUCUGGGAAACCGUCUGUCGGAGGGGGAUAACUAAUGGAAACGGUUGCUAAUACCGUACACCAUCCGCUGUGCCCAGUUGGGAUUAGCUAGUGGGUGGGGUAACGGCUCACCUAGGCGACGAACCCUAGCUGGUCUGCGCGGUUGACCAGCCACACUGGAACUGAGACACGGUCCAGACUCCUACGGGAGGCAGCAGUGGGGAAUAUUGCGCAAUGGGCGCAAGCCUGAUGCAGCCAUGCCGCGUGUGUGAAGAAGGCCUUCGGGUUGUAAAGCACUUUCAGCGGGGAGGCGUUACCCGCAGAAGAAGCACCGGCUAACUCCGUGCCAGCAGCCGCGGUAAUAC
rnacentral:rRNA from 1 species